GAAGCGUACAGCUCAGUGGUAGAGUGUAUGCUUAGCAUGCACAAGGUCCUGGGUUCAAUCCCCAGUGCCUCCA
rnacentral:tRNA from 1 species